rnacentral:lncRNA from 1 species
UUCAUCUUCUUCUUCAUCUUUUUCUUUUUUUUGAUCAAUGAGUUAAAUAUUGUUGGUUAGCCUUGAUGUAUGGGAGGUUUAACCUUCCUUGAUUCAAAUCUAAUUCAUCUUGAUCAAAGAUCAAGUGAAUGGCUUUUCAUUAAGGAUAGGUUGCUUCUUGAUCAAGCAAAAAAACCUAAAUCAAUACAAGAUCAUUCUCAUUUUCUUUUGGCAUGGAAGUUGUAGGAGCUUGGCUUACUAGUCAAGGUCUCUAACUUGCGUUU